AGUCACUGACAUUAGAUACCCGCGUAGUCCAGGGUGUAAACGCUGCGGGCUUGGUGUUGGGGGUCCUUUGAGGGCGCCCAGUGCCGGAGAGAAGUUGUUAAGCCUGCUGCUUGGGGAGUACGUCCGCAAGGAUGAAACUUAAAGGAAUUGGCGGGGGAGCACCGCAACGGGAGGAGCGUGCGGUUCAAUUGGAUUCAACGCCGGACAACUCACCAGGAGCGACGGUUACAUGAAGGCCAGGCUGAUGACCUUGCCUGAUUUUCCA
rnacentral:rRNA from 1 species